CGCUGGCGGCGCGCCUAACACAUGCAAGUCGAACGAGAAUCCGGGGCACCCGGUAGUAAAGUGGCAAACGGGUGAGGAAUACAUGGGUAACCUACCCUUGAGAGGGGAAAUAACCCACCGAAAGGUGAGCUAAUACCCUAUACGCUUCUCUUCCUGAGGGAAGGGAAGGAAAGCUAAGCCCGUGGGCUUGGGCACUCAUGGGAGGGGCUCAUGUCCUAUCAGCUUGUUGGGGGGGGUAAUGGCCUACCCAAGGCAACCACCGGGUAACUGGU
rnacentral:rRNA from 1 species